rnacentral:rRNA from 1 species
UACAGAGACUGCAAGCGUUAUUCGGAUUCACUGGGCGUAAAGGGUGCGCAGGCGGCCGUGUGUGUGAGGCGUGAAAGCCUGGGGCUUAACCCCGGAAUUGCACCUCAAACUACAUGGCUAGAGCAUUGGAGAGGGUAGCGGAAUUCACGGUGUAGCAGUGAAAUGCGUAGAUAUCGUGAGGAACACCAGAGGCGAAGGCGGCUACCUGGACAAUUGCUGACGCUCAGGCACGAAAGCGUGGGGAGCAAAAGGG